GGUCGCGUUUAUCCUUCUUACCAGCGCGUUUUCAGUUUCAAAGGGAAGCCUCUCCAUGAAACUGGAGCGCCUGGAGGAGAAGGGGGCC
rfam:Macaca mulatta chromosome 16, whole genome shotgun sequence.